CCUGAUUAAACAUAAGAGGUCCAGCCUGCCCAGUGAUAACAUUCAACGGCCGCGGUAUUCUGACCGUGCGAAGGUAGCAUAAUCACUUGUUCUCUAAAUAAGGACUAGUAUCAACGGCAUCACGAGGGCUAUACUGUCUCCCCCCUCCAAUCAGUGAAACUGAUCCCCCCGUGAAGAAGCGGGGAUUUAAUUAUAAGACGAGAAGACCCCAUGGAGCUUUAAACCUAACAUACACCCCCUCGCUAAGAUAUCAGCUAAGCCUAGAGGGCCUGUGCGUUGGUCUUAGGCUGGGGGGACCACGGAGCAAAAUCAAACCUCCAUAACAAAUGGGCUAAAACCCUUAUCCACGAUUUACAAAUCCAAGAAUCAUCAAAAUGAUGUUUAAUGACCCGAUAAUUCGAUCAAUGAACCA
rnacentral:rRNA from 1 species